GUCCAACUCUGUCUGUUCUCAGUGUCACCCAGCACAGAGGCCAGGACCACCUGCCUGGGCCGCUGCUGGUCAGAGCCAGACAAGAGGAAGGAGGGGCCAAAACCCAGCAAAGGGACCAUGCAAGACCCGGCUCUGACAUCAGAGACCCCCUUGGCUCCCAGCACCCCAGGGCAAAUCCAGCCCCACCCCACCUCACUGCCUCCCUUCCUGAACGCCAUCCGCUGCCCCACCCCAGGGUGCCUUCUGCCCUGAAGACAACCUCGCUCUUGGUGUUCAUCUCCACUCCAGCCCCGGCCUCCUGAGCUCAAGACUGUCUCCACGGCUGCGAACAUCUCAAACUAGGCCAGGCUGGGGCGCCGCCUCCCUCCCCG
rnacentral:lncRNA from 1 species